rnacentral:rRNA from 1 species
AUUGAACGCUGGCGGCAGGCCUAACACAUGCAAGUCGAACGGUAACAGGAGGCAGCUUGCUGCUUUGCUGACGAGUGGCGGACGGGUGAGUAAUGUCUGGGAAACUGCCUGAUGGAGGGGGAUAACUACUGGAAACGGUAGCUAAUACCGCAUAACGUCGCAAGACCAAAGAGGGGGACCUUCGGGCCUCUUGCCAUCGGAUGUGCCCAGAUGGGAUUAGCUAGUAGGUGGGGUAACGGCUCACCUAGGCGACGAUCCCUAGCUGGUCUGAGAGGAUGACCAGCCACACUGGAACUGAGACACGGUCCAGACUCCUACGGGAGGCAGCAGUGGGGAAUAUUGCACAAUGGGCGCAAGCCUGAUGCAGCCAUGCCGCGUGUAUGAAGAAGGCCUUCGGGUUGUAAAGUACUUUCAGCGGGGAGGAAGGGAGUAAAGUUAAUACCUUUGCUCAUUGACGUUACCCGCAGAAGAAGCACCGGCUAACUCCGUG